GUGACUGAGCGGCGGACGGGUGAGUAACGCGUGGGUAACCUGCCUCAUACAGGGGGAUAACAGUUGGAAACGGCUGCUAAUACCGCAUAAGCGCACGAGAGGACAUCCUUUCGUGUGAAAAACUCCGGUGGUACAGGAUGGGCCCGCGUCUGAUUAGCUGGUUGGCAGGGUAACGGCCUACCAAGGCAACGAUCAGUAGCCGGUCUGAGAGGAUGAACGGCCACAUUGGAACUGAGACACGGUCCAAACUCCUACGGGAGGCAGCAGUGGGAAUAUUGCACAAUGGGGGAAACCCUGAUGCAGCAACGCCGCGUGAGUGAAGAAGUAUUUCGGUAUGUAAAGCUCUAUCAGCAGGGAAGAUAAUGACGGUACCUGACUAAGAAGCUCCGGCUAAAUACGUGCCAGCAGCCGCGGUAAUACGUAUGGAGCAAGCGUUAUCCGGAUUUACUGGGUGUAAAGGGUGCGUAGGUGGCAGUGCAAGUCAGAUGUGAAAGGCCGGGGCUCAACCCCGGAGCUGCAUUUGAAACUGCAUAGCUAGAGUACAGGAGAGGCAGGCGGAAUUCCUAGUGUAGCGGUGAAAUGCGUAGAUAUUAGGAGGAACACCAGUGGCGAAGGCGGCCUGCUGGACUGUUACUGAC
rnacentral:rRNA from 1 species